UGGCGAGUACACAUGAUCAUUUUAAAUGCAUCAAAAAUCUAUUAAAAUCUUUUUAUAAGCAAAAUCAAAACUACAUAAGGGUCUUCUCAAAGAAAUCAUAAAAAUAAAACUAAAGUCAGCUCCAAAUAUAACGAUGGCAGCAGCCAGCACCCACACGGAAUCAAGUAAACGUAAAAUGCCAUCUCUAAUUACCAGGCGCUCAAAAUGGGCAGCUGUUGAUUGAUUUUAACUGCAAAUUACUUUUACUUCGCUUAAGAAUAACAUGCGGAGAGCGUACGCUUGAGAGAGCUAAAUUGCACUCAGAGUACAGCGACACACACGUGUUGCUCUCUUCUAGUGUCGCUUCCUCCUCCCAUACACUUGUUUGUGUGAGUCUGUGUGUGUGUGUGUGUGUGUGUGUACUUGUGCGUUAUCUGCUCAUGCAUAUGUGUGCUUGCUUGUGCGUUAUCUUCUUAUGCAUCGCUCUCUGGAAUUUUGUUGUUGAUUAUCGCUCAUCUUGUGAUCGUUUGCUUGCCUAUUUUCUGUGCACCGGUUUUAUUUCGUCUGCUUUGCGCUCCCGCAUCUUAUUUCUGUGUCAUAUUAGCUCCAGUGAUCAAUAUAGCAUGAGCCGAAUGAGUGCACUUGAAAAUCAGAACCGGGAUAUUCAAACAUAAUUGUUAUUUAAAAAGCUUAAAUAUUGUUAUUAUUUGAAAAGUUAACGAUAAUUGUUCAAGUUUGUUGUAAUUACGCCUAUCAACAGAAUCUUUAAACAGAUUUAAUGUGCAAUUGACUGCUGGCCUCAAAUUAACACAAAAUAAAGUUGCGAGAGCGCAAAGCAGUCGAAAAAAAGGCGCAAACAGAAAAGGCAAAUGAUCUCACGAGAAAUCAUUAAUUGGAACGAGAAGCAAAAGCAAAAAUUGGUGAGCGAGGUAGAUAACGCACAAGUAUACACACUAUGCACAAGUUGAUAACCAAGAUAACAAAAAGGGACAGUUCUGCAAUAAGCCUGAAGUCUGUGCAAUUGACUACUGGGGUCAAACUCGAGUCUCGAGCUUUGAUCUGAGUACAUCUUCCAAUGAUCUCGGUGUAAGGCUAUUUCCUCAUCUCCGCCCACCUUCCCGGCAUAGUGAAAGCCACGUCAAGCCUAUGUUGAGUAUCACGUGCGACAUCUCUGCUGCUGCCGCGCUCUUCAGUAUUGCUGCUAAAUUGAAGACUUCAAGGACUUCGAUGCUCAGGAUAUAUACAAAUCCAACAAGGGUAUUCCUGCCAUGAUCGGACUUUAUUAACGGCUUUUUAAAUUUAAAUAAGAUAAACGGAUGAAUUCUUCAAUAUUUGUAUAAUUUAAAUAGAAAUAAAUAAUAAAUAAUAUUAAGUAAAAAAUUGUAUAAAUAUUGACAGAAAUAAAAAUAAACGCGUACUUCAGGUUUCCUAAAUAAA